UACGGGGGGGGCAAGCGUUGUUCGGAAUUACUGGGCGUAAAGGGCUCGUGGGCGGCCAACUAAGUCAGACGUGAAAUCCCUCGGCUUAACCGGGGAACUGCGUCUGAUACUGGAUGGCUUGAGUUUGGGAGAGGGAUGCGGAAUUCCAGGUGUAGCGGUGAAAUGCGUAGAUAUCUGGAGGAACACCGAUGGCGAAGGCAGCCCCCUGGGCUAACACUGACGCUCAUGCACGAAAGCGUGGGGAGCAAACAGG
rnacentral:rRNA from 1 species